rnacentral:rRNA from 1 species
AUUGAACGCUGGCGGCAUGCUUUACACAUGCAAGUCGAACGGUAACAGGUUAAGCUGACGAGUGGCGAACGGGUGAGUAAUGUAUCGGAACGUGCCCAGUCGUGGGGGAUAACGUAGCGAAAGCUACGCUAAUACCGCAUACGAUCUGUGGAUGAAAGCGGGGGACCGUAAGGCCUCGCGCGAUUGGAGCGGCCGAUAUCAGAUUAGGUAGUUGGUGGGGUAAAGGCCCACCAAGCCAACGAUCUGUAGCUGGGCUGAGAGGACGACCAGCCACACUGGGACUGAGACACGGCCCAGACUCCUACGGGAGGCAGCAGUGGGGAAUUUUGGACACUGGGGGCAACCCUGAUCCAGCAAUGCCGCGUGCAGGAAGAAGGCCUUCGGGUUGUAAACUGCUUUUGUACGGAACGAAAAGGCUCUGGUUAAUACCUGGGGUUUAUGACGGUACCGUAAGAAUAAGCACCGGCUAACUACGUGCCAGCCGCCGCCGUAAAAC